GACGAACGCUGGCGGCGUGCUUAACACAUGCAAGUCGAACGAUGAAGCCGGAGCUUGCUCCGGUGGAUUAGUGGCGAACGGGUGAGUAACACGUGAGCAAUCUGCCCUUGACUCUGGGAUAACUGCGGGAAACUGUAGCUAAUACCGGAUACGACACCUUGGGGCAUCCCAGGGUGCGGAAAGACUUUCGGUCAAGGAUGAGCUCGCGGCCUAUCAGCUAGUUGGUGAGGUAAUGGCUCACCAAGGCGACGACGGGUAGCCGGCCUGAGAGGGUGACCGGCCAAACUGGAACUGAGACACGGGCCAGACGCGUACGGGAGGAAGCAGUGGGGAAUAUUGCACAAUGGGCCAAAGCCUGAUACAGCAACGCAGCGUGAGGGAUGAAGGCCUUCGGGUUGUAAACCUCUUUUAGCAGGGAAGAAGCGAAAGUGACGGUACCUGCAGAAAAAGCACCGGCUAACUACGUGCCAGACGCCGCAGUAA
rnacentral:rRNA from 1 species